UAAGCCUGCGAAGGUGGCCUGUGAGGGUUGCUGGAGGUAUCAGAAGUGCGAAUGCUGACAUAAGUAACGAUAAAGCGGGUGAAAAGCCCGCUCGCCGGAAGACCAAGGGUUCCUGUCCAACGUUAAUCGGGGCAGGGUGAGUCGACCCCUAAGGCGAGGCCGAAAGGCGUAGUCGAUGGGAAACGGGUUAAUAUUCCCGUACUUGGUGUUACUGCGAAGGGGGGACGGAGAAGGCUAUGUUGGCCGGGCGACGGUUGUCCCGGUUUAAGCGUGUAGGCUGGUUUUCCAGGCAAAUCCGGAAAAUCAAGGCUGAGGCGUGACGACGAGGCACUACGGUGCUGAAGCAACAAAUGCCCUGCUUCCAGGAAAAGCCUCUAAGCAUCAGGUAACACGAAAUCGUACCCCAAACCGACACAGGUGGUCAGGUAGAGAAUACCAAGGCGCUUGAGAGAACUCGGGUGAAGGAACUAGGCAAAAUGGUGCCGUAACUUCGGGAGAAGGCACGCUGACACGUAGGUGAAGUGAUUUACUCAUGGAGCUGAAGUCAGUCGAAGAUACCAGCUGGCUGCAACUGUUUAUUAAAAACACAGCACUGUGCAAACACGAAAGUGGACGUAUACGGUGUGACGCCUGCCCGGUGCCGGAAGGUUAAUUGAUGGGGUCAGCGCAAGCGAAGCUCCUGAUCGAAGCCCCGGUAAACGGCGGCCGUAACUAUAACGGUCCUAAGGUAGCGAAAUUCCUUGUCGGGUAAGUUCCGACCUGCACGAAUGGCGUAAUGAUGGCCAGGCUGUCUCCACCCGAGACUCAGUGAAAUUGAACUCGCUGUGAAGAUGCAGUGUACCCGCGGCAAGACGGAAAGACCCCGUGAACCUUUACUAUAGCUUGACACUGAACAUUGAGCCUUGAUGUGUAGGAUAGGUGGGAGGCUUUGAAGUGUGGACGCCAGUCUGCAUGGAGCCAACCUUGAAAUACCACCCUUUAAUGUUUGAUGUUCUAACGUGGACCCGUAAUCCGGGUUGCGGACAGUGUCUGGUGGGUAGUUUGACUGGGGCGGUCUCCUCCUAAAGAGUAACGGAGGAGCACGAAGGUUGGCUAAUCCUGGUCGGACAUCAGGAGGUUAGUGCAAUGGCAUAAGCCAGCUUGACUGCGAGCGUGACGGCGCGAGCAGGUGCGAAAGCAGGUCAUAGUGAUCCGGUGGUUCUGAAUGGAAGGGCCAUCGCUCAACGGAUAAAAGGUACUCCGGGGAUAACAGGCUGAUACCGCCCAAGAGUUCAUAUCGACGGCGGUGUUUGGCACCUCGAUGUCGGCUCAUCACAUCCUGGGGCUGAAGUAGGUCCCAAGGGUAUGGCUGUUCGCCAUUUAAAGUGGUACGCGAGCUGGGUUUAGAACGUCGUGAGACAGUUCGGUCCCUAUCUGCCGUGGGCGCUGGAGAACUGAGGGGGGCUGCUCCUAGUACGAGAGGACCGGAGUGGACGCAUCACUGGUGUUCGGGUUGUCAUGCCAAUGGCACUGCCCGGUAGCUAAAUGCGGAAGAGAUAAGUGCUGAAAGCAUCUAAGCACGAAACUUGCCCCGAG
rnacentral:rRNA from 2 species